AUUGGAAUUGCUGGAUCAUAUGGUAAUUCUGUUUUUUUGUAGGAAUUGUCAUACUGUUUUCCAUAGUGGUUGGUAUUUUACAUUCCCACCAGCAGU
rnacentral:pre_miRNA from 1 species